AUGCUUCAUUCAACCGCAUAUAUUCUAAACUUUAUACAAUACAUAGAAGAUUAGUAUGGCUCCUGUACGGGGAUGACACUUGAAUUUGCAAAGUAUCCCAUAUUUUA
ensembl:snRNA LOC120096755 U6 spliceosomal RNA